AAGUCGUAACAAGGUUUCCGUAGGUGAACCUGCGGAAGGAUCAUUAUUGAAAGUAAACUGUGGUUGGUUGAGCUGGCUCCUCUGGGGCAUGUGCUCACCUUCUGCGCUUUCUACUUAUCCACCUGUGCACUCAUGUAGACAGUAGGCUCAGUUGUCUCUCCUCAGGGAGAGGAUGGGAGACUUGCACUCUGUGCUUGACUCCGAUGACCUGCUUGUCUAUGUAUCUAUACACACUUUUAAAAACUUUGAAUGUCUGUCUUAUUGGUCUUUGACCUUUAAACAAUAUACAACUUUCAGCAACGGAUCUCUUGGCUCUC
rnacentral:misc_RNA from 1 species